CGAAUGCUGACAUAAGUAACGAUAAAGCGGGUGAAAAGCCCGCUCGCCGGAAGACCAAGGGUUCCUGUCCAACGUUAAUCGGGGCAGGGUGAGUCGACCCCUAAGGCGAGGCCGAAAGGCGUAGUCGAUGGGAAACAGGUUAAUAUUCCUGUACUUGGUGUUACUGCGAAGGGGGGACGGAGAAGGCUAUGUUGGCCGGGCGACGGUUGUCCCGGUUUAAGCGUGUAGGCUGGUUUUCCAGGCAAAUCCGGAAAAUCAAGGCUGAGGCGUGAUGACGAGGCACUACGGUGCUGAAGCAACAAAUGCCCUGCUUCCAGGAAAAGCCUCUAAGCAUCAGGUAACAUCAAAUCGUACCCCAAACCGACACAGGUGGUCAGGUAGAGAAUACCAAGGCGCUUGAGAGAACUCGGGUGAAGGAACUAGGCAAAAUGGUGCCGUAACUUCGGGAGAAGGCACGCUGAUAUGUAGGUGAAGUCCCUCGCGGAUGGAGCUGAAAUCAGUCGAAGAUACCAGCUGGCUGCAACUGUUUAUUAAAAACACAGCACUGUGCAAACACGAAAGUGGACGUAUACGGUGUGACGCCUGCCCGGUGCCGGAAGGUUAAUUGAUGGGGUCAGCGCAAGCGAAGCUCUUGAUCGAAGCCCCGGUAAACGGCGGCCGUAACUAUAACGGUCCUAAGGUAGCGAAAUUCCUUGUCGGGUAAGUUCCGACCUGCACGAAUGGCGUAAUGAUGGCCAGGCUGUCUCCACCCGAGACUCAGUGAAAUUGAACUCGCUGUGAAGAUGCAGUGUACCCGCGGCAAGACGGAAAGACCCCGUGAACCUUUACUAUAGCUUGACACUGAACAUUGAGCCUUGAUGUGUAGGAUAGGUGGGAGGCUUGGAAGUGUGGACGCCAGUCUGCAUGGAGCCGACCUUGAAAUACCACCCUUUAAUGUUUGAUGUUCUAACGUUGACCCGUGAUCCGGGUUGCGGACAGUGUCUGGUGGGUAGUUUGACUGGGGCGGUCUCCUCCUAAAGAGUAACGGAGGAGCACGAAGGUUGGCUAAUCCUGGUCGGACAUCAGGAGGUUAGUGCAAUGGCAUAAGCCAGCUUGACUGCGAGCGUGACGGCGCGAGCAGGUGCGAAAGCAGGUCAUAGUGAUCCGGUGGUUCUGAAUGGAAGGGCCAUCGCUCAACGGAUAAAAGGUACUCCGGGGAUAACAGGCUGAUACCGCCCAAGAGUUCAUAUCGACGGCGGUGUUUGGCACCUCGAUGUCGGCUCAUCACAUCCUGGGGCUGAAGUAGGUCCCAAGGGUAUGGCUGUUCGCCAUUUAAAGUGGUACGCGAGCUGGGUUUAGAACGUCGUGAGACAGUUCGGUCCCUAUCUGCCGUGGGCGCUGGAGAACUGAGGGGGGCUGCUCCUAGUACGAGAGGACCGGAGUGGACGCAUCACUGGUGUUCGGGUUGUCAUGCCAAUGGCACUGCCCGGUAGCUAAAUGCGGAAGAGAUAAGUGCUGAAAGCAUCUAAGCACGAAACUUGCCCCGAGAUGAGUUCUCCCUGACUCCUUGAGAGUCCUGAAGGAACGUUGAAGACGACGACGUUGAUAGGCCGGGUGUGUAAGCGCAGCGAUGCGUUGAGCUAACCGGUACUAAUGAACCGUGAGGCUUAACCUU
rnacentral:rRNA from 1 species